rfam:Fukomys damarensis contig143374, whole genome shotgun sequence.
CCAUGGCGGAGGCUGGGGCCAGCCCCAUGGCGGAGGCUGG